rnacentral:rRNA from 1 species
AGCGAACGCUGGCGGCAGGCUUAACACAUGCAAGUCGAGCGGGCAUCCUUGUGGUGUCAGCGGCAGACGGGUGAGUAACGCGUGGGAACGUGCCCUUCGGUUCGGAAUAACUCAGGGAAACUUGAGCUAAUACCGGAUACGUGCGAGAGCAGAAAGGUUUAUCUGCCGAAGGAUCGGCCCGCGUCUGAUUAGCUAGUUGGUGAGGUUAUGGCUCACCAAGGCGACGAUCAGUAGCUGGUCUGAGAGGAUGAUCAGCCACACUGGGACUGAGACACGGCCCAGACUCCUACGGGAGGCAGCAGUGGGGAAUAUUGGACAAUGGGGGCAACCCUGAUCCAGCCAUGCCGCGUGAGUGAUGACGGCCUUAGGCUUGUAAAGCUCUUUUCUCCGGGACGAUAAUGACGGUACCGGAGGAAUAAGCCCCGGCUAACUUCGUG